rnacentral:rRNA from 1 species
GUCCACGCUGUAAACGGUGAGUGCUCGUCGUCGUGGGUAUUGACCCCUGCGGUGACCAAGUUAACACAUGAAGCACUCCGCCUGGGAAGUACGGUCGCAAGACUAAAACUCAAAGAAAUUGACGGGGGCCCGGCACAAGCGGUGGAGCAUGUUGUUUAAUUCGAAGCAACGCGCAGAACCUUACCUGGAUUUGUACAUCUCUGGAAUCCAUCUGAAAGGAGGGAGUGCCUUCGGGAGCCAGAAGACAGGUGCUGCAUGGCUGUCGU